rnacentral:rRNA from 1 species
CCAGUAGUCGUAUGCUUGUCUCAAAGGUUAAGCCAUGCAAGUCUAAGUACGAGCUCUCGUACAGCGAAACUGCGAAUGGCUCAUUAAAUCAGCUAUGGUUCAUUUGGUCGUCUCGAGGGUAGUCUCCCGCAGUUGUGGAUAACUGUGGCAAUUCUAGAGCUAAUACAUGCAAGCAAGUGCCGACGGCACCGAGCGAUCGGGGCCAGACGUGCGCAUUUAUCAGACCUCGCCGGCCCGCGGCGCGCACGGUCAAACGGGCGCGCCCGGUCCUCCGUGGUGACUCUGGAUAACUGAGCGGAUCGCGCUUCCCACGGCGGAAGGCGACAGAUCAUUCGAGUGUCUGCCCUAUCAACUGGUCGGUACGGUCUCGGCCUACCGCGGUGGUAACGGGUGACGGGGAAUCAGGGUUCGAUUCCGGAGAGGGAGCCUGAGAAACGGCUACUACUUCCAAGGAAGGCAGCAGGCGCGCAAAUUACCCAUUCCCGAUUCGGGGAGGUAGUGACGAAAAAUAACGAUGCGGGACUCUGAACGAGCGCCCGCAAUCGGAAUGAGCAUAAUGCAAAGCAAUGGUCUCCCCGGCCCUCGCGGGCCGGGCGUGCGAGUAUCGAUUGGAGGGCAAGUCUGGUGCCAGCAGCCGCGGUAAUUCCAGCUCCAAAAGUGUACACUUAAGUUGUUGCGGUUGAAAAGCUCGUAGUUGGAAAUGCAGGACGGCGGCGUUGCGGACGUCCGCCCGCAAGGGCGCGACGGCCGCGCGCCGAGCCGGUCCCACGAGAGGCUUCGGGCCGGUCGGGCUUCCCUUCACCGGGCGGCCUGGCCACCAAUGCCCGAGAGCCGGUUUUACUUUGAAAAAAUUAGAGUGUUCAAAGCAGGCCUUCGAGGCCCGGAUAGCGUUGCACGGAAUAGCGGAAGAGGGCCUCCUCCCUGACCGCUGGCGACUCGACAAGAGAGAGGCAAUGAUCGAGAGGGACGGACGGGGGCAUUCGUACCGCGCCGUUAGAGGUGAAAUUCUUGGAUCGGCGCGAGAGACUGUAAACGAUGCCGGCUCCGGGCCGACGCCCGCCGUCAAACUAAACGAGGCGGCGCCGGACCGGUCGAGGGAAACCAGAGCUUCUGGGUUCCGGGGGAAGUAUGGUCGCAAAGCUGAAACUUAAAGGAAUUGACGGAAGGGCACCACCAGGAGUGGAGCCUGCGGCUUAAUUUGACUCAACACGGGGAAACUCACCCGGCCCGGACACGGCAAGGAUUGACAGAUUGAGAGCUCUUUCUCGAUUACGUGGGUGGUGGUGCAUGGCCGUUCUUAGUUGGUGGAACGAUUUGUCUGGUUAAUUCCGAUAACGAACGAGACUCUUGCCUGCUUAAUAGAGGCGAUUCGAACGAGGGGGCCGCUUCGAGGUCGGGGCGGGAAACCGUUCGCGGCCAGGGUCGGCCCCCUGAACAAGGCUCUUCUUAGAGGGACGAGCGGCGGUCUUCAGCCGCACGAGAUUGAGCAAUAACAGGUCUGUGAUGCCCUUAGAUGUUCGGGGCCGCACGCGCGCUACACUGGUCGGCACAGCCGGUGCAGCGCUCUCGAGUCUAACGCACGAGGGGAUCCCGGGUCGAGAGGCCCGGGAAAUCCGGCAAACCCGACCGUGAUCGGGACAGAGAAUUGCAAUUGUUUCUCUCGAACGAGGAAUUCCCAGUAGGCGCGAGUCAUCAGCUCGCGUCGAUUACGUCCCUGCCCUUUGUACACACCGCCCGUCGCUACUACCGAUCGAGCGUUUUAGUGAGGUCCUCCAAUCGGCUUCGGCGCGUCGGCCUCGCGCCGGCCGCCGUUCGCCGAGAAGACGAUCGAAC